rnacentral:rRNA from 1 species
AUUGAACGCUGGCGGCAUGCUUUACACAUGCAAGUCGAACGGGGUGGAGGGGCAACUCUCCAUUCAGUGGCGAACGGGUGAGUAAUGCAUCGGAACGUGUCCCGUAGUGGGGGAUAACCCAGCGAAAGCUGGGCUAAUACCGCAUAUGCUCUGAGGAGGAAAGUGGGGGACCUUAACGGGCCUCACGCUAUGGGAGCGGCCGAUGUCCGAUUAGCUAGUUGGUGGGGAAAGGCCUACCAAGGCGACGAUCGGUAGCUGGUCUGAGAGGAUGAUCAGCCACACUGGGACUGAGACACGGCCCAGACUCCUACGGGA